rnacentral:rRNA from 1 species
CAAUAGCGUAUAUUAAUGUUGUUGCAGUUAAAAAGCUCGUAGUUGGAUAUCUGGCCUUUGCGUUGACGACCCGCCCUCUUUUGGGAUGAGCGUUGGAGACGUGGGUCUAUUUUCCGGUUGGUGUCCAUUCCACUUUAUUGGGGCGUGGUUCACGAUCCGGAUCGUUUACUUUGAAAAAAUUCGAGUGUUCAUAGCAGGCUUACGCCGUGAAGAUCGCAGCAUGGAAUAAUAACAUAGGACUUGGCGUUCUAUUUUGUUGGUUCUGGAACCUAAGUAAUGAUUGAUAGGGACAGUUGGGGGUGCUGCUAUAGACUGGCCAGAGGUGAAAUUCUAAGACUCAGUCUAGAGCAACUUAUGCGAAAGCAUUCACCAAGGAUGUCUUCGUUAA